UNCAGAGGCAAUCCAGUUCUGCAAAGGUGUA
rnacentral:piRNA from 1 species